rnacentral:rRNA from 1 species
AAAACUCAAAUAACUCCCAACAACUUCCUUUUGCAUAAGGAGUAACUAAAAAUCCAGAUUUAAAUCUACAAUAGAAAGAUAGUAAACUACGAAUAUUUAAGAUUUACAUGAAAUCUAACACUAAAAUACUCGAAGAGACACUCUACACACUAUCCGAUAACUAUUUCAGGACAAACUUAGUAUAAGCUAAGUAACACAUAAUACAAUCUAAGCUAACAGGCUUAGAAUCAACCAACACAACAGUUCGUAAUUGACUAGCCCACCACUUAACAAUAAUCACUCCAAAUCAUUCAAAACCAAAGACUGAUAAACCAUAGUUACACUAGUAAGAACAACAAAAAUUCGCAUGUUAAAACUCAGCAAUAAACCUCCUACUGUUUAAUAAAAACAUUGUAAUACAAAUGUAUUAUAACCCUCCUGCCCAAUGAAGACAUUUGAAUGGCCGCGGUAAUUUGACUGUGCAAAGGUAGCAUAAUAAAUUGUUUGAUAAAUUUAAACUAGAAUGAAAGGAAUAAAGAAGGUCUACUAUUAACAUACGACUAUCAGAAACUAUAAUUAAGGUGAAAAUUCCUUACAGUAACUCUCAAACGAGAAGACCCUAGAAACUAAUCAUCACAACUUUUUUUGGGAUAAAACUUUAAAAUAAAAGAGUCAUCACCACCUCAAAUAAAACAGUUACUCUAGGGAUAACAGCACAAUAAAAGCCAAGAGAACUUAUCUACCCUUUAGAUUGUGACCUCGAUGUUGAAUCAAGAAUUACCAGCCGUAGAAGGCUAGCAAGUUUCGUCUGUUCGACGAUACAUAAAUACGUGAUUUGAGUUUAAACCGUCGCAAGACAGGUUGGAUUCUCUUUAGAGUUACAACAUAUAACCAUUACUAGUACGAAAGGAACGUAAUACCUAACAGUCAUUAUGAAAAAAUUCAUAAAGCCCAACACAAAACCCACAA